CAGCAGUGAUAAACAUUAUCUAUUAGCGCCAGCUUGACUUAGUCAGAGUAAACAGAGCCGGCCAACUCGGUGCCAGCCGCCGCGGCUAUCCCGCUCGGCUCAAGUUGACACUGUCGGCGUUAAGCGUGGUUAAUAUAAACACCUAAAGUAGAGUCAAACCACAACCAAGUUGUAAUACACUUGACCACGGGAGGCCCAUAAACGAAAGCUACUCUUCCCCAUUGAACCCACGACAGUUGGAAUACAAACUGGGAUUAGAUACCCCACUAUGCCCAACCGUAAAAUAUCUACCCACAUCUUAAAUCGCCAGGGAAUUACGAGCCCCCACUUAAAAUCUAAGGGACUUGACGGUGUCCCACCCACCUAGAGGAGCCUGUUCUAUAAUCGACACCCCACGAUACACCUCACCACCCCUAGCACACUCAGUCUGUAUACCUCCGUCGCAAGCUUACCAUGUGAACGCUCAUAGUGAGCCAAAAGAUUUACCAUCAACACGUCAGGUCAAGGUGCAACUAACGGAACGGAAAGCAAUGGGCUACAAUUUCUAUAAUAGAACAUACAAAAACCUGUAUGAAACACAACUACAAGGCGGAUUUAGAAGUAAAAAGAAAACAGAGAGUUCUUUUUAACUAGGCCCUGGGACGCGUACACACCGCCCGUCACCCUCCUCACCACAAGAGGAGGCAAGUCGUAACACGGUAAGCGUACUGGAAAGUGCGCUUGGAUAACAAAAUAUAGCUUAACCAAAGCAUCUCGCCUACACCGAAAUAGAUGUCAUUAACCUGACUAUUCUGAGCCCUAAUCCUAGCCCCCCCCCAAACCUACUUACAGUAAAUAAACAAAACAUUCUUUCAUGUAGUAACGGCGAUUAAAAAAUAAAUAAGAGCAAUAUAAACAGUACCGCAAGGGAAAUGUGAAAUAAAAUGAAAACCUCAAAGCAAACUACAGCAAAGAUUAACCCUUGUACCUUUUGCAUCAUGGUCUAGCCAGUCUAACCAAGCAAAACGCAUUUAAAGUUUGACCUCCCGAAACUAGACGAGCUACUCUAAAACAGCCAAAUAGGGCUAACCCAUCCAUAUUACAAAAUGGUGGAAAGAUUUUAAAGUAGAGGUGACACACCUAUCGAGCCUAGAGAUAGCUGGUUAUUCAAAUAAACGGAUUUAAGUCCAACUUUAAGCUAUUUUAGUAUCACUAAACAACCUAUAAACUUAAAAGCCAUUCAAAUAAGGUACAGCCUAUUUGAAAAAGGAAACAACCUAAAAUAUUGGGUAAUGUCUAAACAAGUGGCCAAGUAGGCCUAAAAGCAGCCAACUUCUAAAAAGCGUCCAAGCUUCACCACAAAUAUCUUUAAUCCCCGCACCUAUACACAACCCACAACCACUACUGAAUGACCCCAUACGCAUAUGGUUAACAAUAUGCUAGAACUAGUAACAAGAAAACGAACUUCUCCAAAAUGUAAGCGUAAGCCAAAAUGAACCCCUCACUGGCACCUACCGCCACAACAGUAUUAACCACACAAGAAAAUCCUACUGCCCUAAGCGCCAACCUUACACUAGAACAUUACCGGAAAGAUUAAAAGGGGGGGAAGGAACUCGGCAAAUACCAGCCCCGCCUGUUUACCAAAAACAUCGCCUCCCGACGUACAUGAGAGGUCCAGCCUGCCCAGUGACUAAUAGUUAAACGGCCGCGGUACCAUAACCGUGCAAAGGUAGCACAAUCACUUGUUCUUUAAAUCAGGACUAGUAUGAACGGCCCCACGAGGGCUAUGCUGUCUCCCCCCUUCAAUCAGUGAAACUGAUCCCCUCGUGAAGAAGCGAGAAUGACCCUAUAAGACGAGAAGACCCCAUGGAACUUUAAACUAGUACUACCCCCGCACUGACAUCACAACAGCAGGACCACAUAUUUACUAGUCUUUCGGCUGGGGCGGCCACGGGGAAAAACAAAACCCCCGAGAUGAAAGGAAACCCCCUUAUCCAAGAAUUACCAUUCCAAGAAUCAAUAAAUGACACAAUUGACCCAACACUUGAUCAACGAACCAAGCUACCCUGGGGAUAACAGCGCAAUCCAUUUCAAGAGACCUCAUCGACAAAUGGGCUUACGACCUCGAUGUUGGAUCA
rnacentral:misc_RNA from 1 species